rnacentral:lncRNA from 10 species
UUUUGGAUCUCUACUCCCAUCUCCCCCUGAGUUCAGACUUGCACCACCUACUGGCUCUUCACUGACCGGCUAACUGAUGCUCAAAUUCGACGUAUCGAAAGCAGAACUCGACAAUGCCAACUCCUGAAGAUCUUGCUCUAAGUGGUCAAAGGGUGAGCAUACUGCAGGCAACAAAAGAUCGAGCAUACUACAGGCAACCAAGGGUCAAGACAAAUUUACAGGAUCCCUCCCUACCGUGGCCACUACCCAGCUUCCCAGUAGUGCCUUCCUAAUUUGCUGCCCAUGGUAAUGGAGACAAAUACCUGCAGAAGAACAUAAUCAAAACUCAAAGGAAAGUAAGGAGGAGCAAGUUUUUUAAAAGGAAUACAGUUUGCAAUCCUCUUGUUACUAAUUCUUGUUGAUAAUUGAUUUUGUGCUUAAAUCUCACAAGAAUAAACAGUUUUUAGCAAUG